UACGUAGGGUGCGAGCGUUGCCCCGGAUUUAUUGGGCGUAAAGGGCGCGCAGGCGGCUACGCACGUCCGUUGUGAAAUCCGCUCGGCUCAACUGGGCGGGGUCAGCGGAUACGGCGUAGCCUGGAGCAAGCUAGGGGGCAAUGGAAUUCCCCGGUGUAGUGGUGGAAUGCGUAGAUAUCGGGAGGAACACCUAUGGCGAAGGGCAGCUUGCUGGGACGGUACUGACGC
rnacentral:rRNA from 1 species